UCGACGACAAAAGAAAUGUUAAAACCCUCUCUAUCUCUCUCCUCCUACCAUCACCCUCGCUCUCUCUCUACAUUUUCGAAACCCCUCUCUCUCCCCCUUUUUUCUCUCUCUCUAGGGUUUUACGAUUGUUCGCACUCAAAUUCCACUCACCCAGCUUCGAAUCUCAGCUGAAAAAUUGCCUCCCGAUCUUCCCCCUCCGCCGCUCUAUCCUCCAGUGCCGUUUUCCGGACGCGCCGUGGAGGAUCUGGAGCUUAGCUUCGUACGACGUCGUUUCCGGUGGUCGCCGAUUUGCGUUGAGGUUUCAGGAAGUACUGUAUUAGGAACACUGUGAUCUGGUUAGAUGCUAUAACAUGGAGAAGGGGCUUCUGAUCGACAAUAAUCAUAAGAGGAGCGAUCCUAUUAUUGCCUCCAAGUCGGUGGGAUCGUUUGUGAAAAUUGAUUCAAUAUCUAUUGAUCUUCCUGAUGCGAAUGACAAGAGUAGUAGCCAUGCGGGAAACUGCGAGCAUUUCACUAUAUGUGGUUAUGUAGCUGAAGUUCGCAAAAAGAAUUGGAAGCUAUGUUGGCCAUUUCCUUUGGAUGGUGAGUUUGAUCAGGAGCCAACAUCCUUGCUUCCUCCCUUGGAUCCUCCAAAAUUCAGAAGGUGGUCUUGCCAGAAUUGUGUGCAGGAAACUGGUUCUGAGAGUAUUGCAAAAGAUCAUGGUACGGACAUGCGUAUAGGAUCUGAUUCCAAUAACAAUUGUGCUCAGAUCCCACCCCUCAGUGAUGCUUCACUGCUUCUGUUAGAUUAUGAGAAAGGUUCAAUUUCCAAAAUUGUUGAUGGAAAAAGUGCUGAAGCUCAUAUUUCUGUUGUUGGAAUUGGCAAUGAGCAACAUCCUUCGUCAUCUACUUUUGAUAAGAAAGAAGGGAGGCAUGAAGUUUCACUCACUGCCAUCACAGUGAAUGAGAAUGUCUUAGAUAAUUAUGCGAGUCAUGAAAUGCCGAGACUCAAUUCUGUUGGGCCAGAAGUUGACCCAAAAAGGACGCAGGAGGGACAUAAAGAUAACACAGCAGAAGCAGUAAAUUUGGAGAGCAAUGGAUCUGUUGAAGUCUGGAAAUUAGGAUGUGAAAGUCGUGGUGGUACCAACCUUCAACUCCAUUUCUCAAACAAAAAAUUAUUCUGGAAUAAGAAUCUUGCCCAGACUAGUGAAGCUGAUCACCGACCUUCUGCAGAAGAAAAUCACAAGGAGUCAAUGACUGCCUCUGGGACAUGUAAGAUAGUCGGGACGGUUGACAGGGUAAGUGAUGCUACCAAGGGCCAGACCAUCAUUAAUCAUCCUCUGCAUGAGUGUGAUUAUGCAUCAUCGGAAAAUCCUGAGAAGUCGAGUAGUUUGAAUCGUAAGAAAGGUCGGAAGGUGCGUGUGCGUCUGCUGAGUGAGUUGGGUGAUGCAAAGCCUGAUUGCUUCAGGACAGAAGAUUCUCCAUCCAACAGAAUUAGCAAUACAUCUGGGAAAGCAACUGUUUCCCAAGGCCAGGUGUCUAUCCAAGAAAGUGCUAGAGUGGAUCUCGGUGAGAAUAACAAAAGGAAAUUGCCUGAGGAAGAGGAACAGAGAUGCAUAGAGAAGAGCCAUCCUAAAAGUUUGAAUAGAAAAGUUAAGACUUCCAAGCGAGAUGAAGAAACCACCGGAAGCGUUGCAGAUUCUGAGUUAGAAGAAGAUGCAGUUGCCAGAGUAUCUUUGCAGGCAGAUAUGAGGAGCAACUGGAAUGGAUCCGAAAAUGAAAGAAUCCCGGCUGCUGGUAAGAAGAAAAUUAUGAAAUCCAAUGAUAUUGGCGCAUGUUCAUCCUUAGUCCCACCCAAAGAUAUUGUGCCAAUAGAAGCCCUAGACAAAGUUGGAAAUUCAAGUAAGGGUAAUGCUACUACAAGUGCUUCUUAUAGUCCAGCGUAUGAUGCAUCCACAGGUAGAGGGAUGGAUCAAAUUGCUUUGCCUGCCCCAAAAGCAGGUAGAAAGUCCGGUUCCUGUAAGCGGAAAGACAAGAUGCCGGAAGUUGAUAACGGACUGGCUUCUCUAUUUCCUUGGCUCACGAAAUGCCCAAAUACAAGGAAAGAUGUAGAAUUCAUGCAAACUGGGAAUCCAUUUCACUGGGCAGAAGAUGCACCCGCUGAAAAAGGGUUGGAUCUUUCUCUUAACAGCUAUUUGUCUGCACAAAGAGAUGACAGGAAAUCUAUUCCUCAGUCUGAAGAUGGAUUUCCUUCCUGGUCAAUUCAGAAAGAUGGAACCGGCAAACUAGAUGAGUUUAUUAGGAAAAAUGCAGAAGCCAGCGCAAAUCUGACCAAACUUCCUAAAGCCAUUUCAAAUGCAUUUUCUGGGAAAGUAGGACAUGAUGAUCUGAGUAGUAAAUUUUUCACCUACAGCAUGCCUAUCCCGAAUGAGAAGCAAAACUAUAGCCCCCAGGUUGAAGGGAGAUGUUUGUUGCAGCAUAUGGAUAUUUCUCGUGCAAGAAACAAGGAGAAAAUUGAGGUUCCGAAAAAUUCAGCUGUGCCUGUUAGUAGGAAAGAUAGCAAGCAAAGAGCUGAAAAGACGUCUCAGAAGGGAGCUGCAGAUGACAUACCGAUGGAAAUUGUUGAAUUCAUGGCGAAAAAUCAUUAUGAGAGAAAUCAGAAAGUUUUGGAAGCAGGCAUUAAUGCAAGGAAUGUUCAGGCGAUGGAUCAUAGUUAUGGCAUUGGGAACUUAAGAAUAUUAGAGGAAACCAGUCAGAAGCGAAAACCUCAGGCAAGAAAGGCAAAAGAUGGUGCAACCGCAAGAAAAAAUGUGGGACCUUCCAAACAGAAGUUAGUUGACUUUUCUACUUAUAUCCCCGGAAAAGACAUAUUCCGUCUCGAUCAAAUGCAUUGCGCUGUAGGGUUUAAUGCAUUUGGUCAACCUAAAAAGAAGAUGAGUACUCGAGAGCAAUUUCCUGCUGCUGGUUACAGCAGCUGUAGUUGUGCCCAAAAUUGCAAAUGGAAUGGAGAUAUGAUGAGCGAUGGGUUGUCAAAUUCUAGCUUGCGUCCGUCUGUUCCACAAUCAAAGGAAGACGCAGCUCUCCUAUGGUCACCUGCGUUGCCAGCUCAAACAGCCUUAACACACUACAAUCCUCUUAAGUAUGGAGCUCAGCCUUCCAAUGUCGAUAUGCUUUCACACCCUCCUGGCUCGCUGCAUAAGGGAAACUUCCGUGGGGAUUAUGGCCUGAAAUUAUUUAAUUUAAAUGCUACCAACCCGGAAAAGCAUAGUGAAGGUGUUGGUUCUGAAACUUUCAGCAGAACAAAUGCAGAGUACUCAUUCACUGGUCAACGUAAUGCGACCGAGCCUCCUCAGGGUUCAGCGGGUUCUUUUGAUCUAUAUUCUAAUGAAACCAUACCAGCAAUGCAUUUGCUCAGCCUCAUGGAUGCAGGUAUGCGGUCAGGUCCAACCUUGAACAUUGCUGGAAACCCAAAAUUUCCCAAGAGGUCCUUUGAUCUUUACUCUAAGGAGUAUUCUGCAGCGGAUGCUGGUGUUUAUAAGGUGGCUGAUACCGUCAAGCAUCCAUCAUCCAGUUUUUGCGGCAAAAAUCACAUUUCUGAGAAGUCUCUUGACCUUUUUCCUAUGAAUCCGGGUGGUACAUCUACCUCUUCUUAUCCUAAAGGAUUCAAAAGGGCUGCCGUAGAGCAUAGAGGCUCUGGAUCCCAGAAUUCUGCAUCCAAAGGUGGUGUCUUGGGCAAAAAUCAUGGAACUAUCCCUGUUAUGCAGAAGGGGAUUGCUAUGCUGGGUGAUUCUAUGAUGUUUCCCCAGCACGGCCACAACAUUGAAUAUCCAAUGCUGCAGAAAUUGGAUACUCAUAAUGCUAAUGGGGCCAUGAGGCCUCCAAAGAGCAGUCCCAAUUCUUUAAUCUGCGCCAUAAACAAAAACCCAGCUGAGUUUAGCUUGCCAGAAGAUGGCAAUGAGUACAUGAUUAGUGGGAAAGACCUAAAAGUUGGGAAGCAGAGGCAUGGCUUCGUACAAGUAGAUCAGAACAAGCAGCCGAAGAAGAGGAAACAGACUACAGGAAAGGGACGUGCACAACAAUGAGUUUGAUGAGGUUCCUGAUAUAUCUUUACUUGUAGUACUGUAUAACCCUAUAAUAGCUAAAGUGCUUGAAACAAAACUCUUUACUCACCUGCCUGGCAAAGAUUUCCCCAGCUAGCUACUGCAAAAUAAGCUUUAGAGAGGAUCCAAGUUGUAGUCGUAUGAAGCUGAUAUUAGUCAGAGACUCGAAAGCUGAGAAGCGGAGUUUAUAGCAGUCAUACUGGGUGGAGGUCAAGGCCUGUAUUAUAGCCUUCAUAUGUCUUGACCUGCCUGUGCUGUUGGUUUUGUAUCAAGUCUUGUUCUUUUUUAUCCGGGGUCAUACAUUCUCGAGGACAAAGUUAUGAUAAACUUUCGCAAUGACAAGACGGCAUUCUUACUGA